UACAGAGGUCCCAAGCGUUGUUCGGAUUCACUGGGCGUAAAGGGUGCGUAGGUGGCCGGGUAAGUCUGACGUGAAAUCUCCGAGCCUAACUCGGAAACUGCAUCGGAUACUAUCCGGCUUGAGGGUUGGAGGGGGGACUGGAAUACUUGGUGUAGCAGUGAAAUGCGUAGAUAUCAAGUGGAACACCAGUGGCGAAGGCGAGUCCCUGGACACCUCCUGACACUGAGGCACGAAAGCUAGGGGAGCAAACAGG
rnacentral:rRNA from 1 species